rnacentral:rRNA from 1 species
AUUGAACGCUGGCGGCAGGCCUAACACAUGCAAGUCGAACGAGUGGCGGACGGGUGAGUAAUGUAUGGGAACAUGCCUGGUAGCGGGGGAUAACUACUCGAAACGGUAGCUAAUACCGCAUACCAUCGGAUGUGCCCAGAUUGGAUUAGCUAGUCGGUGGGGUAAAGGCUCACCAAGGCGACGAUCCCUAGCUGGUCUGAGAGGAUGACCAGCCACACUGGAACUGAGACACGGCCCAGACUCCUACGGGAGGCAGCAGUGGGGAAUAUUGGACAAUGGGAGCAAGCCUGAUGCAGCCAUGCCGCGUGUAUGAAGAAGGCCUUCGGGUUGUAAAGUACUUUCAGCGGGGAGGCGUUACCCGCAGAAGAAGCACCGGCUAACUCCGGGCCAGCAGCCGCGGUAAUAC